rnacentral:rRNA from 1 species
AUACGGAGGGUGCAAGCGUUACUCGGAAUCACUGGGCGUAAAGGAUGCGUAGGCGGAUAAUCAAGUCAAAAGUGAAAUCCCACGGCUUAACCGUGGAACUGCUUUCGAAACUGGUUAUCUAGAAUAUGGAAGAGGCAGAUGGAAUUAGUGGUGUAGGGGUAAAAUCCGUAGAGAUCACUAGGAAUACCGAUUGCGAAGGCGAUCUGCUGGGACAUUAUUGACGCUGAGGCAUGAAAGCGUGGGGAGCAAACAGGAUUAGAAACCCCGGUAGUCC